AAGUCGUAACAAGGUUUCCGUAGGUGAACCUGCGGAAGGAUCAUUAACGAGUUCUGACUUGGGUUGUCGCUGGUCCUCCGGGACAUGUGCACGCUCUAGCUCAUCCACUCACCCCUGUGCACCCCUGUAGUUGUUUAUCUCAAAGGACGUUUGCGAAGGCUUCACGGCUGGACCACUCUUCCCGCGAAUAGACUCUACGUCUUUUUUAUACACGCAUAAAGUCUAAGAAUGUAAACCUUUGCUAUAAAACGCAUUAAAUACAACUUUCAACAACGGAUCUCUUGGCUCUC
rnacentral:misc_RNA from 1 species